rnacentral:tRNA from 1 species
AUUUUUUUAGUAUAAUAAAGUAUAUUUGACUUCCAAUCAAAAGGUCUAAUCUUUAGAAAAAAUA